CGGCCCCCCCCCAACUCCCACCCCGGCUGGGGGCGUGUGGCUGGGAGCCCCCGGGAGCCCCCUGACUGCAGGUGAGCCUAAAAAAAGAUGUUACCUCCCUCUGCAAACCUUGCCUCCGUUGUUCUCAUCAGAGAAGAUAAGAAGGAAAGGAGAAGAAAAGUCUCGGCCCUCGCUGCCCCCAGAUCCAGAGGGAAGCACCGUGAUCCCACCACAGGAACUCUGGAGCAGCCAUGGAUGGGGGACCUGUCACCUGCCAGGAGCAAGAGGAGGUUGCUCGUGAUGUGAGAACAUGGAGACACCAAGUACUGUUGUGGAGGACUCACAUCUUGGGUGGAGACUGCAAAGUGCCCUCUCUGAAAGGAGCUGGAAAACAAGAAAUGUGCUCAGAAGCCCCUGAAGACCACA